rnacentral:rRNA from 1 species
CAGAGGAUGUUUCUGGCGCGGUGCCUUCCGAGUUCCCUGGAACGGGACGCCAUAGAGGGUGAGAGCCCCGUAUGGUUGGAUACUAAGCCUGUGUGAAACUCCUUCGACGAGUCGAGUAGUUUGGGAAUGCUGCUCAAAAUGGGAGGUAAAUCUCUUCUAAAGCUAAAUAUUGGCCAGAGACCGAUAGCGCACAAGUAGAGUGAUCGAAAGAUGAAAAGCACCUUGAAAAGGGGGUUAAACAGUACGUGAAAUUGUUGAAAGGGAAGCGCUCAUGACCAGACUUGUGCUGGGCAGCUCAUCCGGGGUUCUCCCCGGUGCACUCUGCCCAGUUCAGGCCAGCAUCGAUUUUUGCUGGGGGAUAAGAACGGUAGGAACGUGGCCCUCCUUCGGGUGGGUGUUAUAGCCUGCCGUACGAUACCCUGGCGGAGAUCGAGGUUCGCGCAUCUGCAAGGAUGCUGGCGUAAUGGUCAUCAGCGACCCGUCUUGAAACACGGACCAAGGAGUCGUCCAUUAGAGCGAGCGUUUGGGUGUAAAACCCGCACGCGUAAUGAAAGUGAAAUUAGGUGAGAGCUUCGGCGCAUCAUCGACCGAUCCUGAUGUUCUCGGAAGGAUUUGAGUAAGAGUUUUAACGGACGGACCCGAAAGACAGUGAACUAUGCUUGUAUAGGGUGAAGCCAGAGGAAACUCUGGUGGAGGCUCGCAGCGGUUCUGACGUGCAAAUCGAUCGUCAAAUAUGAGCAUGGGGGCGAAAGACUAAUCGAACUGUCUAGUAGCUGGUUACCGCCGAG